GACGAACGCUGGCGGCGUGCCUAAUACAUGCAAGUCGAACGCUUCUUUCCUCCCAGGUUCUUGCUCUCAAUGGGAAGUAGGAGUGGCGGACGGGUGAGUAACACGUCUGUAACUUACCGAUGGAAGGGGGAGAAAACUUGAAGACAGUAGCUAAUACCGCCUAACAGUUUAUGCCGCAGGUCUUAAGAGUUAAAGGGGCUUUCGGAGGCGGUUUCGGGUUGGACCGUCGGUGCAUUAGCUAGUUGGCGGGGUAACGGCCCACCAAGGCGACGAUGCAUAGCUGAUCUGAGAGGAUGAUCGGCCACACUGGAACUGAGACACGGUCCAGACUCCUACGGGAGGCAGCAGUAGGGAAUAUUCGACAAUGGACGCAAGCCUGACCGAGCAACGCCGCGUGAGUGAAGAAGGUCUUCGGAUUGUAAAACUCUGUUGUUAGAGAAGAAAAACAGCGUUAGUAACUCACCCUGUUCUGACGGUAUCUAAACAGAAAGCCACGGCUAACUACGUG
rnacentral:rRNA from 1 species